rnacentral:ncRNA from 1 species
GAGAUAGAGGUGCGGAUUCAAAGAGUAACAUACGGCUUACGGCAGCCAAACACCAUUUUCCGUAUGUAAAAGGGGAAUUCGCCGAAGAGCGGCGCUUUUUGGCGGGCGUCCCUCUGGUCGUUUUCGUGAAAAUCGGCACGACUGUCGUCACUUUGUGAUGGAGCGCUAUCU